rnacentral:rRNA from 1 species
GACGAACGCUGGCGGCGUGCCUAAUACAUGCAAGUCGUACGCACCGAAGGAGAGCUUGCUCUUCUGACGUGAGUGGCGAACGGGUGAGUAACACGUGGGAAACCUACCCUUCAGCGGGGGAUAACCAUCGGAAACGAUGACUAAUACCGCAUAGACGAUAGAACCGCCUGGUUCAAUCGGGAAAGAUGGCUUCGGCUAUCACUGAAGGAUGGUCCCGCGCCGCACUAGUUAGUUGGUAAGGUAACGGCUUACCAAGGCCAUGAUGCAUAGCCGACCUGAGGGGGUAACCGGCCACACUGGGACUGAGACACGGCCCAG